CACAUGCUAAUCGAACGUUUUAAUUGGUAGUUUUCUACAUAAAUUAAAAAGUGGUGUACAGGUGAGUAUAAUGAUAUUCUUAGCCGACCUUAAAGUGGAGGUAAAUCCUCCAUAAUACAUAAAGGGACAUAUAAUCCUGCUUUAAGAGGACAAUAAAUAUCUUCGGGAUAGGUAGUAGUUAAGGUGAUGGCUUAACUAGCCUAAAACUCUCGUAGUCGAAUCUGAAAGGUUGAUCGACCACAUUGGGUCUGAAAAAACCCCAAUGCAAGUUAGUACAGCAGUGAGGAAUUUUGGUCAAUGGCCUAACGGCUGAACUGGCAACUUGGAGAAGUGGCAAGUCUUAUUUUGAUUAUAUUAUUAUAUAUAAUCUAUAAGAUUGUAUUAAAAUUGAAUAAAGCUUUGUUUAUAUAUCGAUAAUGACGGUAUAUAUAUCGUGUCUUGGCUAAUUACGUGCCAGCAGCCGCGGUAAUACGUAAGAGACUAGUGUUAUUCAUCUUAAUUAGGUUUAAAGGGUACCUAGACGGUCAAUAUAUCUUCUACAAUGUUAGUACUUGACUAGAGUUUGAUAUAAGAGGGCAGUACUUGAGGAGGAGAGAUGAAAUUCUAUUAUACCAAAGGGACUCGGUAAAGGCGAAGGCAGCCCUCUAUGUAAAAACUGACGUUGAAGGACGAAGGCACAGAGCACAAACAGGAUUAGAUACCCAAGUAGUCUUUGCAGUAAAUGAUGAAUGUCAUAGGUUAGAUUAAGCUUUAAUAAAUUAGUUUAAUCAGUUUAAACUAACUAUUAAACAAUAUUUAGUCUAUAAAUGAAAGUGUAAGCAUUCCACCUCAAGAGUAAUGUGGCAACGCAGGAACUGAAAUCACUAGACCGUUUCUGACACCAGUAGUGAAGUAUGUUAUUUAAUUC
rnacentral:rRNA from 1 species